rnacentral:rRNA from 1 species
AUUGAACGCUGGCGGCAUGCCUUACACAUGCAAGUCGAACGGCAGCGCGGACUUCGGUCUGGCGGCGAGUGGCGAACGGGUGAGUAAUACAUCGGAACGUACCCUGUUGUGGGGGAUAACUAGUCGAAAGAUUAGCUAAUACCGCAUACGACCUGAGGAUGAAAGUGGGGGACCGGAAACGGCCUCAUGCAGCAGGAGCGGCCGAUGUCUGAUUAGCUAGUUGGUGGGGUAAAGGCCCACCAAGGCGACGAUCAGUAGCUGGUCUGAGAGGACGAUCAGCCACACUGGGACUGAGACACGGCCCAGACUCCUACGGGAGGCAGCAGUGGGGAAUUUUGGACAAUGGGGGCAACCCUGAUCCAGCAAUGCCGCGUGUGUGAAGAAGGCCUUCGGGUUGUAAAGCACUUUUGUCCGGAAAGAAAUCGCGCUGGUUAAUACCUGGCGUGGAUGACGGUACCGGAAGAAUAAGCACCGGCUAACUACGUG